GGUCGCAGAAAGCCUAACCAACUUCCUCUGCUCCACACCACCUGCUUUGCUGAACUGUGUUUCAACAUCACCAUCAUCUGAUUACCUCUACCUUCAGAGCUUGUACACCUCCAGACAUAGGGAGCUCACUGUCUUGAGAAAGUUCUUCAGCUAAACACAAAGAUUCUAUAAGUAAUACAGCGGCUCUUGUCUUUCUCUGUGUCACUGCUCAUCUAGUCAUUCAUUCAUUUAUAUUUUCAUUCAUUCAAUACUAUUUAUUGAGCCUCCACUAAAUGAAGCAGAAAACUCAUGGUCCAGCAUCGGAGCAAAAUCAUAACUCUAAAGGGACUGUGCUAGGAGUUGGGGUUACAGCCACGAAAAGUGCAGUCACAGGCUUGUGCAGCCAUGGUCCUGACCUUGUGGAGCUUAUGGUCUAGUAAGGGAAGGGGAGAAGCCACUGAUGAGUGGGAAUCAGCGCUCUGAAGAAAAAUCUGGAUUUUCUCUUCUAAGCAAUGGGAGACACUGAUGGACAUUGAUAGCUGAAACUUUUUAAUGUUUUUUUUUUUUAAUUGUGGGAUAGCUUACAAAUAGUAGAUUGCCCAGAUCUUAAGUGUAUUGCUUAAUGAAUUAUAACCACCACUCAGAUCAAGACUCAAAACAUUUCCAGGGCCCAGAAGGCUCUUUCAUGCCCCCACCCAGCCGUACCCCCACAUAAAGUAACCGCUAUGUUGAUUUUUAUCACCAUGUAUUCAUUUUGCCUGUUUUUGAAUGCCAUAUAAAUAGAAUCUUAUAGUA